rnacentral:rRNA from 1 species
AGUGAAUAGAUACCCCGGUAGUCCACGCCCUAAACGAUGCUAACUCGAUGUGUGGCAGAGAUGUUGCGCGUCUAAAGGGAAACCGUUAAGUUAGCCACCUGGGGAGUACGUUCGCAAGAAUGAAACUCAAAGGAAUUGACGGGGGUCCGGCACAAGCGGUGGAGCAUGUGGUUUAAAUUCGAUGAUACGCGAGGAACCUUACCUGGGCUAUAAUGCGACCGCGAUACUGGGAAACUGGUAGUUCCUUCGGGACGGUCAGCAAGGUGCUGCAUGGUUGUCGUCAGCUCGUGCCGUGAGGUGUUGGGUUAAGUCCCGCAACGAGCGCAACCCCUAUUGUUAGUUACCAAGCUUGAGAGAUCAAGAGGGACUCUAACGAGACUGCCGGCGUAAGCCGCGAGGAAGGUGGGGAUGACGUCAAAUCAUCAUGGCCUUUAUGUUCAGGGCGACACACGUGCUACAAUGGCCGGUACAGAGGGUUGCGAAGCUGGAAGGUGGAGCUAAUCUCAGAAAGCCGGUCUCAGUUCGGAUUGAAGUCUG